UGGGGAAUAUUGCACAAUGGGGGAAACCCUGAUGCAGCGACGCCGCGUGAACGAAGAAGGUAUUCGUAUCGUAAAGUUCUGUCCUAUGGGAAGAUAAUGACAGUACCAUAGAAGAAAGCUUCGGCUAAAUACGUGCCAGCAGCCGCGGUAAUACGUAUGGAGCGAGCGUUGUCCGGAAUUAUUGGGCGUAAAGGGUACGCAGGCGGUUUAAUAAGUCGAAUGUUAAAGAUCGGGGCUCAACCCCGCAAAGCAUUGGAAACUGAUAAACUUGAGUAGUGGAGAGGAAAGUGGAAUUCCUAGUGUAGUGGUGAAAUACGUAGAUAUUAGGAGGAAUACCAGUAGCGAAGGCGACUUUCUGGACACAAACUGACGCUGAGGUACGAAAGCGUGGGGAGCAAACAGG
rnacentral:rRNA from 1 species